rnacentral:rRNA from 1 species
UGCGCAGGCGGUUAUGUAAGACAGAUGUGAAAUCCCCGGGCUUAACCUGGGAACUGCAUUUGUGACUGCAUAGCUGGAGUACGGUAGAGGGGGAUGGAAUUCCGCGUGUAGCAGUGAAAUGCGUAGAUAUGCGGAGGAACACCGAUGGCGAAGGCAGUCCCCUGGACCUGUACUGACGCUCAUGCACGAAAGCGUGGGGAGCAAACA